rnacentral:pre_miRNA from 15 species
UCCCACCGUUUUUGGCAAUGGUAGAACUCACACUGGUGAAGUAAUGGGAUCCGGUGGUUCUAGACUUGCCAACUAUGGUGCGAGG